AUACUAGUUAGCUAUGAGUUAGCAUGACGUCACCGCAAUCCCAACACUGGGAGGGGUGGAGAGUGAAAACUACGUACAACGCCCAGCUCGCCUUCUCCCAAAACUGCAGUCAGCCAGGCUCAAGCGCGCUCUCCGCCCGGCUCACGCACACUCCCGACCUAACAUCAGCUUCCCUUCACUCCAGGGAACCGCAACCGCACGAGCCCCGAAGGCCCUUCCCGCCCCGCGCCCCCUGCUGGUCACCUCGGGAAACACACUUCCGCACCUCCCAGCGUGGAUUCGUCUGAACUCGCUUUCUCCUUCCGGUCGAGCGUUUUGCUUGUGCAGUGCCUGGGGCUUUUUCUAGUGUUCCAAUUGCUCUACUGUGUCUCCAAGUCCUGACAUUCUAUCUUCUACUUGAUCCAUUCUCCUAGGAAGGCUUUCUAUGGAGUCUUCUCAAUGUGUAGUAGACUCCCUUGAGACCCAGGGCCACCACAACCAAAUGCAGCCACAGCCAUGACCGAGCCAUGCCCUUGGGUGUACAGAAACCUCAAGACAUCUCUGCAACAAUCCCCUCUUUGCUUAGGAAGCCUUCCAGGAGGCCUUGAAGGAAGGACAAAGAGACCACCACUCAGUUUAGUCUCCAACUAGUGCUACGUGUGACCUUGCAAUGCUCCCCAAGCCUUCUUCCCUUCCUUGACAUAAAAGCUAUUUAAACCCACACAAUGGGUUUAAAGUAGCCAUUAAAAUAUAUGUUCCCAAACAGAUCUCUGUAUGGAUAGGAUCUGGUCUGGUUCUUUCCACCAGGACUUGAAUCCUCACACACACAAUAAAAGCUGUUUGCCUGAA